UACGUAGGGGGCAAGCGUUGUCCGGAAUCAUUGGGCGUAAAGAGCGCGUAGGCGGUCCGGUAAGUCAGCUGUGAAAGUCAAGGGCUCAACCCUUGAAAGCCGGUUGAUACUGUCGGGCUAGAGUCCGGAAGAGGCGAGUGGAAUUCCCGGUGUAGGCGGUGAAAUGCGCAGAUAUCGGGAGGAACACCAAUGGCGAAGGCAGCUCGCUGGGACGUUACUGACGCUGAGACGCGAAAGCAUGGGGAGCGAACAGG
rnacentral:rRNA from 1 species